rnacentral:lncRNA from 12 species
GUGGUGUCAGCUUAACAAAGUGCAUUGAGAGAGCUGGCUUCCUGGGCAGAGAAGCACAUCAAUAACCCAGUGGGAAGCAGCAUGGACAGAAGGGCAAGGACCUUGGCUUUGUUGUAAUGAAGAGGAAAUGAGUUGCAGAUAUGUGUGUCCUUUGGGGACUAUGGCAGAAGUUCAACUCAAGCAAGAGUGCCCUAUUGAUCCCUCUCCUCCAAAGGUGGAUAUCGUGAAGAAUGCCGUUCCCACUUGGAACCAGGCCUCCUCACUAAGCUCCAGGGUCUUGUGGUCCCAUGAGGCUCUGCGGCUUUCCUACCUGUCCCACCUGUGCCUAGUGUUCAGGAUGGAGCAUAGCCAGACUGCUCCCUCCACGGCUCUUCUCUGCUAGAUCAUUUCCUGUGUCAACUUGACGGGGCUGUGCGAUGCCCAUACAGCUGGUACAUGAUCCACGAGUGUGUCUGUGAGGAUGCUUCUGGACGAAAUUAGCCUUUGAACUGACAGGUUGAGA